GCGAUACAGGGUGACAGCCCCGUACACAAAAAUGCACAUGCUGUGAGCUCGAUGAGUAGGGCGGGACACGUGGUAUCCUGUCUGAAUAUGGGGGGACCAUCCUCCAAGGCUAAAUACUCCUGACUGACCGAUAGUGAACCAGUACCGUGAGGGAAAGGCGAAAAGAACCCCGGCGAGGGGAGUGAAAAAGAACCUGAAACCGUGUACGUACAAGCAGUGGGAGCACAGAGCAAUCUGUGUGACUGCGUACCUUUUGUAUAAUGGGUCAGCGACUUAUAUUCUGUAGCAAGGUUAACCGAAUAGGGGAGCCGAAGGGAAACCGAGUCUUAACUGGGCGUUAAGUUGCAGGGUAUAGACCCGAAACCCGGUGAUCUAGCCAUGGGCAGGUUGAAGGUUGGGUAACACUAACUGGAGGACCGAACCGACUAAUGUUGAAAAAUUAGCGGAUGACUUGUGGCUGGGGGUGAAAGGCCAAUCAAACCGGGAGAUAGCUGGUUCUCCCCGAAAGCUAUUUAGGUAGCGCCUCGUGAAUUCAUCUCCGGGGGUAGAGCACUGUUUCGGCAAGGGGGUCAUCCCGACUUACCAACCCGAUGCAAACUGCGAAUACCGGAGAAUGUUAUCACGGGAGACACACGGCGGGUGCUAACGUCCGUCGUGAAGAGGGAAACAACCCAGACCGCCAGCUAAGGUCCCAAAGUCAUGGUUAAGUGGGAAACGAUGUGGGAAGGCCCAGACAGCCAGGAUGUUGGCUUAGAAGCAGCCAUCAUUUAAAGAAAGCGUAAUAGCUCACUGGUCGAGUCGGCCUGCGCGGAAGAUGUAACGGGGCUAAACCAUGCACCGAAGCUGCGGCAGCGACGCUUAUG
rnacentral:rRNA from 1 species